CGCGGCCUAUCAGCUUGUUGGUGAGGUAAAGGCUCACCAAGGCUACGACGGGUAGGCGGUGUGAGAGCACGAUCGCCGACAUGGGCACUGCGACACGGGCCCAACUCCUACGGGAGGCAGCAGUCGAGAAUCUUCGGCAAUGGGCGAAAGCCUGACCGAGCGACGCCGCGUGCGGGAAGAAGGCCUUCGGGUUGUAAACCGCUUUUCUGAAGGAAGAACUACGGUGACUGUACUUCAGGAAUAAGGGGCUGCUAAUCACGUGCCAGCAGCAGCGGUAACACGUGAGCCCCAAGCGUUGUCCGGAGUUACUGGGCGUUAAGGGUCCGUAGGGGGCCGUAUUAGCCCUGUGUUAAACCCAACAGCUUAACUGUUGGCCUGCGCAGGAAACGGUACGGCUAGAGGGCGUGAGAGGCUGAUGGAACCCACGGUGUAGGAGUGAAAUCCGUUGAUAUCGUGGGGAACACCAAUGGCGAAGGCAUUCAGCUGGCGCGACCCUGACCCUGAGGGGCGAAAGCGUGGGGAGCAAAGAGGAUUAGAUACCCUCGUAGUCCACGCCGUAAACGCUGGACACUAGCUGUGUGUAGUGUCGACCCUACACGUAGCGAAGCUAACGCGUUAAGUGCCCCGCCUGGGGAGUACGG
rnacentral:rRNA from 1 species